ensembl:lncRNA
CAAAAAGGCCUGUUAAUACUAAGGAACAGAAAAAAUGAUUCCAAACAUUAUUUGCUCUUUUUGCCAGAAGUUGGUGGACCAAAAAACAAACAAACAAACAAACAAAAAAAAAAACCAAAACAAAACAAAAGCAAAACAAAACCCCAACAAAACAGAAAAGAACCCCACAUGUGCUCCUGGGCCAGCCUCACCUUGCAAUGUCUCUAGUCUGGCCAGAACCCAAAAGUACAGGUUAAGGGAAAAGCCAGAAAUAUUCUGAGGAUGUCCCAUUAAAGGGACAGAGAACGCCCUCUACACAGACCUUUCUGUAAAAUAUAUAGAUGUAAUCUAAGGAUUACUUGAGACACAGGAUGGGAGCAGGAACAAGUAAAGGAUAUAGGAAGAUGUAGGCAACAGAGUGUAAUUAAUUGAUUUUACUGUUAACUAAGCAGCUCUAUCCUUUGAGUAUUUGCUAUUUCAUUACUGAACGCUUUUCUAUGGUCCUGAGACAACAGAUGAGAAUGACAAAUCACUCAGUGAAUUUCAGAACUUUGUCUGCCAAUUCAUUAUCAAUUUCUGUGUUGUAGAAAGCAAUCCUUCAAAUUUUACACCAGUACAUUAGGGCAGAAGAUAAUUGGAUGGACUUUUAUCAGUACAUUUUCCUGACUUGCUACUAAAGAGAAGCUGUGAACAGCAGAGGUUGAAGAGGAAAACAGGACAAGAAUUGAACACUACAGACCAAAGUGCUUAUGAAAUUUAAAGAUAAAGGAAAAAGUCCAGGGGAAAAAGAGAAAAGAAAGGAAGAGCCGCAGAAAGAUUCUCUAGAAUACAGCCACCUUGGAAGACAGAGCUCCUCCUCAGUGAGAGGGAGUCAGCUUUGGAACUGGAGUUUUCUCGAGAAAGAAAAGCCAUACAGAAAAGUAAUACUGACUGGGACUGAACCAUCUUUUCCACAUAGUAUUGGCAAAACCAUAAUAAGCCUGGCUAUUCCUUGGCUUAUUCCAACAACUGUAGUGGAUCUAAUGGAGAUAUUUUAGAGAACUUCAAUGAUGGGAGCUGGAGAAAGCAGUGUGUUUAUAGAUAAACACUGCUAUAUGAGGAAAAAAAUCUUAUUGUGAAUAUUACACAGAUUAGAUAAUAGUAAUAUGUUUUAAAAAUAAGUCACUUGAUUUAGAUAAAUGAUCUAAAUAUUAUUCACCUAAUCAGAAACAUUUUUAGCAACAAUUCUACAAAAUUUUUGUGUGUGUAAUUCAACACAUAAAACCACAUCAUCCAUAUGUAACUGACAGUGAGUCAUCUCUUGAAGCAUAAGAAAUGGGGACCUAAGUAAAAGCAUAAUACAGCACACAAUAUGUAGUAACUGAAGGGCAGAGACAAUGUUGCAUUAGUUUUAGGACUACUGCUUUAUGCCUCUGUCACCUUUAGAGGGACGGUUCCCUGGACAAGAUAGGAAAAAAAAGUUUUAGAAAUGUUUUGUCUUAGAGACCUGAACUUAUAAGGGCGAGUUUCUAUGGAGGGGGGGGGAGAGGGGAAGACUUUUGCAAGAUCUGUAAUACUGGGGCCAGUCAGAUGUUCACAAUAUAUUGCUCACCAAGAAACUGAGCCCGAGAAUUAUUAAGGUUUUUUUGGUGAAUAACUUUGAAUAAUUAAUUCUUCUGAGAAAACCACAAUCUGUUCACAGAGAGUUCAUGAAGAAAAAAAAAAAAGAAAGAAAGAAAAGAAACCAAGGUGAAUAAUUCAUUAUGAAUUAUUUGACCUGUUUUAGCAAUGAGAUUCUAAAUCUGUCCUCUUAUGGAUAUUAACCUCAUUAAUACUAUUUAGAUACAAGACUUCGGGAUAAUUAAGAUGAUGCAAUACUGUGUAUCUAAUAUGACACUAUUAAUAUUUUUGUAAAUACUUUGAAAAUAAUGCUUUAUUUAUUGUAUUUUUUUAAAUCCUUGUGUAUAAAUUUAGAAGAACUGGCCAUCUUAGAAUAAUUAAUGCAAUAAUAGGACAUUCUUAUAUGAGAAGGAAGCCUUGAUGACAGAGAGAUCUAAAUGUUUAAAAUCUGCUUAGGUCUACUGCUAUAACACAUAGCUGAGUGACCAAUUCGCCUAUCAUUUGUGAAUUCUAGGGAAUUUGAGAGAAUGUCUAAUCCUGAACUGAGAAACAGAAUUUCCAGGGAUGGGAGAGAAAUCAGGUUUGACUCUUAAUAUUUAAAAGUACAAACUGUAAUAAACAUACAACAAUUUCCGUACAAUAACUGAAUAAUGUUAGCAGACUGAUUUCAGACUGUUCCAUUACGUCAUCCAGGAAUAACACAAGAACUAGUCAUUUAACUGCUUAAUGCACUGUUUCUGUUUAAAUAUGAACACAGUAUUUUAAGUAAAAGCUAAUAUUUUCUAAUAAUUCCUACCAAUACCUGACCAACUAUCCAAUAUCAUUAGGUAAAGCUGCAGUUUCAUGACACUUUGAACUGCUCCAAAUCAGAGCUGCUAGGGUGUUUUCUGCCAAGUGCUUCAGCCUACACCCUUGCAUCAGCAGUAGUGUUUGGAUGAUGCCAUUCUCUCCCACCUUCCCACAGAGGUGAGCUGUUUCACGGCAGAAUAGCUGCAGCCUGACAAUACAGUUAGGCUCGUCCAAAAAAACAAAAAAGAAAAAAAAAACAUAAACAAGAGAGAAAAGGAAGCCCAUACCUAAAGAGA